UGGGGAAUAUUGCACAAUGGGCGCAAGCCUGAUGCAGCCAUGCCGCGUGUAUGAAGAAGGCCUUCGGGUUGUAAAGUACUUUCAGCGAGGAGGAAGGCGGUAAGGUUAAUAACCUUAUCGAUUGACGUUACUCGCAGAAGAAGCACCGGCUAACUCCGUGCCAGCAGCCGCGGUAAUACGGAGGGUGCAAGCGUUAAUCGGAAUUACUGGGCGUAAAGCGCACGCAGGCGGUCUGUCAAGUCGGAUGUGAAAUCCCCGGGCUCAACCUGGGAACUGCAUUCGAAACUGGCAGGCUAGAGUCUCGUAGAGGGGGGUAGAAUUCCAGGUGUAGCGGUGAAAUGCGUAGAGAUCUGGAGGAAUACCGGUGGCGAAGGCGGCCCCCUGGACAAAGACUGACGCUCAGGUGCGAAAGCGUGGGGAGCAAACA
rnacentral:rRNA from 1 species